UACAGGGGGGGCAAGCGUUGUUCGGAAUUACUGGGCGUAAAGGGUCUGUAGGUGGCUUGCUAAGUCAGACGUGAAAUCCCUCAGCUUAACUGGGGAACUGCGUCUGAUACUGGCGAGCUUGAGUGCAGGAGAGGAACGCGGAAUUCCAGGUGUAGCGGUGAAAUGCGUAGAUAUCUGGAGGAACACCGGUGGCGAAGGCGGCAUCCUGGACCGACACUGACGCUGAGGAGCGAAAGCCAGGGGAGCAAACGGG
rnacentral:rRNA from 1 species